AGAUUGAACGCUGGCGGCAGGCCUAACACAUGCAAGUCGAGCGGUAGAGAGGUGCUUGCAUCUCUUGAGAGCGGCGGACGGGUGAGUAAUGCCUAGGAAUCUGCCUAGUGGUGGGGGAUAACGGUUCGGAAACGGACGCUAAUACCGCAUACGUCCUACGGGAGAAAGCGGGGGACCUUCGGGCCUCGCGCCAUUAGAUGAGCCUAGGUCGGAUUAGCUAGUUGGUGAGGUAAUGGCUCACCGAAGGCGACGAUCCGUAACUGGUCUGAGAGGAUGAUCAGUCACACUGGAACUGAGACACGGUCCAGACUCCUACGGGAGCAGCAGUGGGGAAUA
rnacentral:rRNA from 1 species